GACAGAGGGUGCAACGUUGUUCGGAAUUACUGGGCGUAAAGCGCGUGUAGGCGGCUUUGCAAGUCGGGUGUGAAAUCCCACGGCUCAACCGUGGAAGUGCACUCGAAACUGCAAGGCUAGAGUCCUGGAGAGGAAGGUGGAAUGCUUGGUGUAGAGGUGAAAUUCGUAGAUAUCAAGCGGAACACCGGUGGCGAAGGCGGCCUUCUGG
rnacentral:rRNA from 1 species